UAAAAUACAAACGUUUGAAAGAGCUUGCGGGUUUUCGCGAAUUGUGGCGGUCAGGUUGCGUAUCUGUCAAAAAGCGUUCUUACUGAUCAAAUAGGAGGUAAAAAGAACCUGUGUACGAAAUUUGAUGCGUAAACGUUUAAGAGCACAAGAAAGUUGACAGGAAAGCUGGUUGGACAACCUAAAAGUAUGGACUGGCCACUCUCUUGAUACCCCGCUAAGAACAGCUGCUGACUGGGAAAAGCUAAGAGAUUAUCUUACGCGAACUGAAACAGUACCCUCUGCGACGAAAGUCAAGGGAGAGAUGAGAUACAGAUAAAGCUGUUGUCCUCCUGGGGUCUAUUUCAGCUCUUUUUUCGUCGUCUGCCCCUGUCUUAACAAUUGCUUUUCUAUGAAUCUUAAUUGGUGUCCUGCAACCUUUGUGAGAUUUUCAGCUGUUUCUUGCGGAGAUCAACUGCUGCCAACCGCUGUUUUUUGUAUGCCGGUGAGGGCAAAAAGGCGCCUGAGCUGAAUCGUUGUGUAGCGCUUCGGGGAGCUACGCUCUUCCUUUAAAGUCUCCAAAAAAAGAUUAACUUUGGCAUGCGAAAUAGGUGUCUAUCCCUGCGCAACUAUCGAACGGUGAGUAGUUCUUCUAUGUUGCCCACACCAGCUGCCAGUAGAAUAUUGUUGUUGUUUUUUUGUAAGGUUGUCUUGCCAGCUUAUGUCGAUUACACUCUGAGACCUGGGUCUCUAGUGCUUCUCAAAUGCUUCCAUCAAAGGUGCUUCCAUUUCUCCUUAAAGCUACCGUACCUGAAACCCCUUUCAUAUUGAGCGACAUUUCCCUUAGAUAGGAAUCGGACAGUGUGUUGCAAGGGCUCCCUGUCCCCGUUUAAGGAGUAAAUCAGUUCUCUCUCUUACCUUUUCUUACUUCUUCCAUCUAUCUAAUGAUAGUAUCUCACAGACUGGAGCUUCAACACCUUCGUAGGAAAGCGGCCCAUUAGGUACAGGUGCCAGAAGUCAAGCUAAUUUUGCUAAAAGAUCGACACUAAUUACCUACCAAAUCGCCGUGGGCUGGCACCGACUGCAUUGAAACAUCUACGCACGCCAGGAACUUUCUAGACUUCGCGGCCAUUCGUCCUGCCCUUUGGAGAGCUUCGAAAGUUGAGAUAAAAUCUGUGAAGAUAAACGCAGGUAGCACAGCUUCAACACUGAUUCUUUCUUCUACGAACUCCAAAGCGUUGUGUAUCGCCUCAGCUUCUAGACUGCACUGUCCUCCGUUACUAUCGGUAUUGCCAGGAAAUCGUAUCAUCGCACCACACCCGGAUCUCACGCUGGAGACGUUUGCGAUGCAUAGACCUGAACAGGAAGACUAGUUGAUUUGAGCGCGCACUGCACCCAUGUUGAGCACUUUUAGCACAUCCGCUCUCGCACCCCACUUCGUUCGAACUAAUAUUUUACAAUUCGAAGCUUCCCGAAUGCCGUUUCUGUUACAUGCUGCAUUUGAUCGUUCAUUGUCAGUUUCUGAUCAAGAAUUACCCCAAGAAAUUGGGCUUUUUGUCCCAUUCCAGCUUUUUUUCCGUCCAUCCGCAGCUCGACUGGCUCCUUAGGAAUAUCACGACCUAGUCUGAACCAGAAGUAAACACAGACUUCGAAUAGUUUACUUCAAGGUGCCACAUCUUAGCAAGAUACCGUUAUCAAUGCUUGCUGGAGGGUGCUUUGAGCUGUUUGAUCCCUCCCCGACUCACACAAUGCAAUAUCAACAGUAGGCAACAGCGUCUGACAUUUCAAGAGGUCAGUUUUCUCAGACUUUGAUACAGAUGAGAUUGCAACUUACGAAGAAGUUGAACUAUUUAGCCCUAAACAACCUCUGAAAGUAUUCCGACCUAUUAUAUUUAUAGGUCCUCCUGGUGUUGGAAGAAAUGAAUUAAAACGAAGACUCAGAGCCAGUAAUCCUAAUCACUUUGAAGAAGUGGUUCCAUAUACAAGUCGUGAAAGAAGAGCUCAUGAGGAAGAUGGAAAAGAAUAUAAUUUUCUUAGUCGAGAAGAAAUGGAACAACAAAUAAUUGCCCAGAAGUAAGUGUUAUUAAUACUAUCUAUUAUGUUUUUAAAAAAAUCUUUAAUUGUGAUUAUAUCUUAAGUGUAAUUUUUGUUGUAAAUGUGAAAUAACAUAGAGCAUGUCGAUACCUUCGCCCUAUAUGAUCACUACAAUGAUUAAGUAUUUAGCAGACACUUUAUCAAGCUACUCUCAGACAAUAGGAUCUAAAGAAUAUUUGUGUUUAUACAAAUAACAAACUAGUGUUUAAGAGGGAAGACAUAUUAGGAACUCCAUUUAUUACGUAAACACAAGCGGUGUUGCACUGACGUACAUAUAAUACUAAUAUGUUAAAGGAUCCACUAGAACCAAUUCAAGUAUUAGAUGAUAGAUCUACUCUUC
rnacentral:sRNA from 1 species